AAGGAUCAUUAAAGAUUCGACCUUUGGGUCUAUCUUCUCUUCAGCUGUGCGCUUAGGCUGCACGCUGUUGAAUUUCACACACCUGUGCACACUUCGGUUGUGACUAGUUAACUCUAGUCGCUUCCGCUUUUACAUUUAACAACCAAGUCUAGAAUGUCAAAUACAAUAAAAUAACAACUUUUAACAACGGAUCUCUUGGCUCUC
rnacentral:misc_RNA from 1 species